UACGAAGGGGGCUAGCGUUGCUCGGAAUCACUGGGCGUAAAGCGCACGUAGGCGGACAUUUAAGUUGGAGGUGAAAGCCUUGGGCUCAACCCAAGAAUUGCCUUUGAUACUGGAUGUCUCGAGACCGGGAGAGGUGAGUGGAAUUCCGAGUGUAGAGGUGAAAUUCGUAGAUAUUCGGAAGAACACCAGUGGCGAAGGCGGCUCACUGGCCCGGUUCUGACGCUGAGGUGCGAAAGCGUGGGGAGCAAACAGG
rnacentral:rRNA from 1 species